UACGUAGGGUGCAAGCGUUAAUCGGAAUUACUGGGCGUAAAGCGUGCGCAGGCGGUUUUGUAAGCCAGAUGUGAAAUCCCCGGGCUUAACCUGGGAACUGCAUUUGUGACUGGCGAGCUAGAGUAUGGCAGAGGGGGGUAGAAUUCCACGUGUAGCAGUGAAAUGCGUAGAGAUGUGGAGGAAUACCGAUGGCGAAGGCAGCCCCCUGGGCCAAUACUGACGCUCAUGCACGAAAGCGUGGGGAGCAAACAGG
rnacentral:rRNA from 1 species